CCUACGGGCGGUUGCAGUCGAGAAUCAUUCACAAUGGGGGAAACCCUGAUGGUGCGACGCCGCGUGGGGGAAUGAAGGUCUUCGGAUUGUAAACCCCUGUCAUGUGGGAGCAAAUUAAAAAGAUAGUACCACAAGAGGAAGAGACGGCUAACUCUGUGCCAGCAGCCGCGGUAAUACAGAGGCCUCAAGCGUUGUUCGGAAUCACUGGGCGUAAAGCGUGCGUAGGCUGUUUCGUAAGUCGUGUGUGAAAGGCGCGGGCUCAACCCGCGGACGGCACAUGAUACUGCGAGACUAGAGUAAGGGAGGGGGAACCGGAAUUCUCGGUGUAGCAGUGAAAUGCGUAGAUAUCGAGAGGAACACUCGUGGCGAAGGCGGGUUCCUGGACAUUAACUGACGCUGAGGCACGAAGGCCAGGGGAGCGAAAGGGAUUAGAUACCCGGGUAGUC
rnacentral:rRNA from 1 species